rnacentral:rRNA from 1 species
AGGGUUCGAUUAUGGCUCAGGACGAACGCUGGCGGUGCGCCUUAUGCAUGCAAGUCGAGCGAAGCUUUUCAGUAGUUUACUACAGAAAAUGACUGAGCGGCGAACGGGUGAGUAACGCGUGAGCAAUCUACCUUAGUUACAGGGAUAGCCCGAGGAAACUCGGAUUAAUACCUGAUAUUCUCUAUUUCUCGCAUGAGAAUAAAAGGAAAGGUCAGCCGAACUAAGAUGAGCUCGCGUUCUAUCAGCUAGUUGGUGAGGUAAAAGCUUACCAAGGCUACGACGGAUAGCUGGUCUGAGAGGACGAUCAGCCACACUGGGACUGAGACACGGCCCAGACUCCUACGGGAGGCUGCAGCAGGGAAUAUUGUGCAAUGAACGAAAGUUUGACACAGCGACACCGCGUGUGGGAUGACGGAUCUAGGUUUGUAAACCACUUUCAGGAGGGAAGAAAAUGACGGUACCUCCACAAGAAGCCCCGGCCAACUACGUGCCAGCCGCCGCGGUAAUA